rnacentral:other from 1 species
GUUUCCACUGCUGCUCCGAGGACAGGGUUUGGAAUUCCUGGAGAACUGCCUUUUGAGAAACUAGAAAUAAUUUCUUUAAAUUCCAUCUCCAAUUUUUCAUAGACACAUCAAGAAACC